rnacentral:lncRNA from 1 species
AUCCAAGAACGUGGGCAUGCCGAUCGCCAUGUUGCUGCACACGGACGGAGAGCACGAGCGCCCCGGAGGCGAUGCGACGGUGACCAUAGCUCACAGACACACCCCCAGAGAGCAACUGAAGGCCCAUACUCAGCUGGCAGAGAUUAUCAUAGUGGCUGCAGCUGUUAAGAAGAAGGCCAGCUUUAUCACUCCAGUCCCAGGAGGUGUGGGACCCAUGACUGUGGCCAUGCUUCUGAAGAACACACUUCUGGCUGCCAAGAAUAUCACCUACUAGAUCGCAGGGGAGAGCACACAGAAGGAGUACUGCUGCCUAUUUAUUUGACAACAGGAGAAAUCCUUUCUAUUUUACUACAAAGCUAUUUAUUUCUACAUGUAUUUAUUUUUUCAUGAGUGGAAUCAUUCUGGAACUGAUUAUUUACAUGACUUUAUGCAUUUCUUGCUGAUAGAUUUGAGUCUU